CGCACGGGUGAGUAACGCGUGGAUAAUCUACCCUUAAGAUGGGGAUAACGGCUGGAAACGGUCGCUAAUACCGAAUACGCUCCCGAUUUUAUCGUUGGGGGGAAGGAUGGCCUCUGCUUGCAAGCUAUCGCUUAAGGAUGAGUCCGCGUCCCAUUAGCUAGUUGGCGGGGUAACGGCCCACCAAGGCAACGAUGGGUAGCCGGUCUGAGAGGAUGACCGGCCGCACUGGAACUGGAACACGGUCCAG
rnacentral:rRNA from 1 species